GACGUAGGGCGCAAGCGUUGUCCGGAUUUAUUGGGCGUAAAGGGCGCGUAGGCGGCCUGGCAAGUGGAAGGUGAAAUCCCUCGGCUUAACCGAGGAACUGCCCUCCAAACUGCUUGGCUUGAGACCAGGAGAGGUGAGUGGAAUUCCCAGUGUAGUGGUGAAAUACGUAGAGAUUGGGAAGAACACCAGUGGCGAAGGCGGCUAUCUGGACGGUUUCUGACACUAAGACUCGAAAGCGUGGGGAGCAAACAGG
rnacentral:rRNA from 1 species